ACAUAGUUUUCAGUUAUAGACAGUGUGUUUGUAUGUAUUGUGUGUCCAAUCAGUUAAGUGUUGGACUAAUCGUGUCUUUUGUGUUCACAAAACAUUGUUUUGUUGGCCGAAAGCAAGUCGUCUUCGGUUGGAUCAGUUGUCACACCAAUCGGUUAAAACACAUAUUUAAUGGUCAGUUAUGUCUUCAUCCGUUGAACUCGACAGAGAAGACAUAAGCCAUGCGAAUGGCGGCGACGAGUCAACCGGUGCGCUGGCCGACGAUGAACACAACGAUUCAGACAUUCAUUCGGAUCACAUGAACAGUACCAGUGAUGCCACCGAAGACCCAGAACUUGAAGCCAUCAAAGCAAGAGUUCGUGAAAUGGAAGAAGAAGCUGAAAGACUUAAGAUUAUGCAGGAAGUGAUGAACGAUGAGGACAAACACGAUGCCGACAGUCCUAAUGCGAGUACUUCUGGUAUGUCUAUCGAAGAGAAGAUGGAAGUUGACGGUCGAUCCGUAUAUGUCGGCAAUGUUGAUUAUUCCGCGACUGCUGAUGACUUGGAAAGACAUUUUCACGGAUGCGGAUCUGUUAAUAGAGUGACUAUUCUUUGUGAUAAGUAUUCAGGACAUCCCAAAGGAUUUGCAUACAUAGAGUUUGCGGACAAGGACUCGGUAGAGACGGCCACUGCACUCGACGAGUCGUUAUUUAAAGGCCGACAAAUUAGAGUAUCCGCCAAACGAACCAACAGACCGGGUAUUAGCUCAACUAAUCGGCCGCCCAGAGGGCGAGGCACCCGACGUGGAGCUUAUAUGGGCCGAAGUGCUCCGUGGUUUGGCAGACCUUCAAGAAGACCUCGCAGAGGUAGUUGGUUUGGCUACAGUCCCUAUUGAAGUGACUUUUUAAGGAUCACUAUUAGAUGACAGAAUACAAGAUUUUCACAACCAUUGUUCAAAAUUCAUAUUCAUUAUCUCUUAUCUCACAUAUAAAUGGUCAUCAUUAGGUGAUUAAUAGGAAAUGGUGUCUACAAUCACCCGGUGCUCAUCAAUAAUAAACAUUCGACUGACUAAUACUUUUUAUUAACAUAAUGAAAGUUUCUGUUGAUGGAUAUG